GCAAACUGAUCUAUACAAUCUUCAAAUGGUUAAAUGAGCAUACAUCUUCCUUUUGAUGAAAGCGAAUUGUGCAGCAUGCCAGCUUGACAACAUAAUGAACAGGUUGGUGACCACUCCCGUUGGAAAUGUGACAUUGGUUAAUCGCCCCUCACUUUCGUAGCUAAA